GAUCAUGGCUCAGGAUGAACGCUAGCUACAGGCUUAACACAUGCAAGUCGAGGGGCAGCGGGAUUGAAGCUUGCUUCAAUUGCCGGCGACCGGCGCACGGGUGAGUAACGCGUAUCCAACCUUCCGUACACUCAGGGAUAGCCGUUUCGAAAGAAAGAUUAAUACCUGAUGGUAUGAUGAGAUUGCAUGAUAUCAUCAUUAAAGAUUUAUCGGUGUUACGAUGGGG
rnacentral:rRNA from 1 species